rnacentral:rRNA from 1 species
AUUGAACGCUGGCGGCAUGCCUUACACAUGCAAGUCGAACGGCAGCACGGGAGCAAUCCUGGUGGCGAGUGGCGAACGGGUGAGUAAUAUAUCGGAACGUGCCCAGUAGUGGGGGAUAACUACUCGAAAGAGUGGCUAAUACCGCAUACGACCUGAGGGUGAAAGCGGGGGAUCGCAAGACCUCGCGCUAUUGGAGCGGCCAAUAUCAGAUUAGCUAGUUGGUGGGGUAAAGGCCUACCAAGGCAACGAUCUGUAGUUGGUCUGAGAGGACGACCAGCCACACUGGGACUGAGACACGGCCCAGACUCCUACGGGAGGCAGCAGUGGGGAAUUUUGGACAAUGGGCGCAAGCCUGAUCCAGCAAUGCCGCGUGCAGGAAGAAGGCCUUCGGGUUGUAAACUGCUUUUGUCAGGGAAGAAAUCCUCUAGGUUAAUACCCUUGGGGGGAUGACGGUACCUGAAGAAUAAGCACCGGCUAACUACGUGCCAGCCGCCGCCGUAAAAC